rnacentral:rRNA from 1 species
UACGGAGGGUGCAAACGUUGCUCGGAAUCAUUGGGCGUAAAGCGCACGUAGGCGGCCUGUUAAGUCGGAUGUGAAAGCCCCGGGCUCAACCCGGGAAGUGCAUACGAAACUGGCAGGCUUGAAUAUGGAAGAGGGUCGCGGAAUUCCCGGUGUAGAGGUGAAAUUCGUAGAUAUCGGGAGGAACACCAGUGGCGAAGGCGGCGACCUGGGCCAAUAUUGACGCUGAGGUGCGAAAGCGUGGGGAGCAAACAGG